rnacentral:rRNA from 1 species
AUGCCGUGCUCAAAAUGUAGUAAACUAAUUUUAGGGAGUUGCGUAAGUACAAACCUGCAGGAUUGCUUCUGCAGCUGGAUAAUUGGAACCAAAAAAGGUCUUUACAAUGGAUGGCUUGGUGUUUUGAUGGUCCUUACCUUAUUGACCGCAACUUCUGUAUUUACAAUCAUAUUCGUAUCUGCCCCUCUAGUGGAUACGUUUCUAUUCGUGAGCCUGUUUUUGGUUUUAUGGAAACAAUCAAACAAUAUAAUAUAUAUAUAUCCCUGGUGCUAUUAUUCCUACUUCUGUAGUUUAGCGGACAAAUUGAUAACUUCGGCAUUCCUUGCUCACUGA